rnacentral:rRNA from 1 species
CAAUAGCGUAUAUUAAAGUUGUUGCAGUUAAAAAGCUCGUAGUUGGGUUUGUGGCGUACGGUGGGUUCCGGGCACUUGUUGUCUGAGUAACUUGCUGUUGCCAUCCUUGGGUGGAACCUGUGUGGCAUUAGGUUGUCGUGCAGGGGAUGCCCAUCAUUUACUGUGAAAAAAUUAGAGUGUUCAAAGCAGGCUUAUGCCGUUGAAUAUAUUAGCAUGGAAUAAUGAGAUAGGACUUUUUUGCUAUUUUGUUGGUUUGCGCAAAGAGGUAAUGAUUAAUAGGGACAGUUGGGGGUAUUCGUAUUCCAUUGUCAGAGGUGAAAUUCUUGGAUUUUUGGAAGACGAACUACUGCGAAAGCAUUUACCAAGGAUGUUUUCAUUAA